rnacentral:rRNA from 1 species
CCUACGGGAGUCAGCAGUAAGGAAUAUUGGACAAUGCUCGCAAGAGUGAUCCAGCCAUGCCGCGUGCAGGAAGAAUGCCCUAUGGGUAGUAAACUGCUUUUGAACUAGAGAAAACCCCAGUACGUGUACUGGGCUGAUAGUAUAGUUAGAAUAAGCAUCGGCUAACUUCGUGCCAGCAGCCGCGGUAAGACGAAGGAUGCAAGCGUUAUCCGGAUUCAUUGGGUUUAAAGGGAGCGUAGGUGGACUGAUAAGUCAGUGGUGAAAUCUCCGAGCUUAACUCGGAAAUUGCCAUUGAUACUGUUGGUCUUGAGUACAGUUGCUGUGGGCGGAAUAUGACAUGUAGUGGUGAAAUACAUAGAGAUGUCAUAGAACACCGAUUGCGAAGGCAGCUCACAAAGCUGUAACUGACACUGAGGCUCGAAAGUGCGGGGAUCAAAACAGGAUUAGAUACCCUGGUAGUCCGCACCGUAAAACGAUGAUUACUCGCUGCUAGGGGGCGAAACCUUUAAGUGGCUUAGCGAAAAGCGAUAAAGUUAAAUUCACCUUGGGGAGUACGCCGGCAACGGUGAAAACUUAAAAGAAGUUAGUUAGGAGNGNGAGNGCGACGACGACGACGAGGAGGAGGAG